rnacentral:rRNA from 1 species
UGGCGAGAAGUCCAUUGAACCUUAUCUUUAGAGGAAGGAGAAGUCGUAACAAGGUUUCCGUAGGUGAACCUGCGGAAGGAUCAUUG